AUCUAUGGCCAUACCUGCCUGAUGCACACAAUCUUGUCUGAUCUCAGAAGCUAAGUAGGGAUGGUGUGGUUAGUACUUGGAUGGGGGACCACGUGGGAAUAUGGGUACUGUGGGCU
ensembl:rRNA 5S_rRNA 5S ribosomal RNA